GGACGCUCCGGGCCGGGGGCGAUGCAGCUGCGGGUUCGUUUCUGUGUAUUUGCAGUAGGGACCCCCAGGAUGGAAAGGGGAUUGUGGAAGCUGAAUUCGUCCCUCCUGGAAGUCAAGGAGAUAAGACGGUCCUUUGAGGAGUUUCUGCAGAGCCAGAACGCUCUGUAGGACGCAGGAAAGAUGGCGGAGUCCUGGGUGGACGGACUGGACGCCACUAAAGUCACCAUCACCCUCAUCACCGUAUUACUGGGGUUACUGUACUGGUGAGUGAUGACUCCGC